rnacentral:rRNA from 1 species
AACGCGAAGAACCUUACCCAGGCUUGACAUGCAAAGGACAGCACUAGAGAUAGUGAAUCCCUUCGGGGCCUUUGCACAGGUGCUGCAUGGCUGUCGUCAGCUCGUGCCGUGAGGUGUUGGGUUAAGUCCCGCAACGAGCGCAACCCUUAUCAUUAGUUGCCAACACGUAAAGGUGGGAACUCUAAUGAGACUGCCUGGGUUAACCAGGAGGAAGGUGAGGAUGACGUCAAGUCCGCAUGGCCCUUAUGUCUGGGGCUACACACGUGCUACAAUGGUCGGUACAGAAGGCAGCGAAACCGCGAGGUGAAGCAAAUCCCAAAAACCGAUCUCAGUUCAGAUUGUAGUCUGCGACUCGACUACAUGAAGACGGAAUUGCUAGUAAUGGCGAGUCAGCAACAUCGCCGUGAAUACGUUCCCGGGUCUUGUACACACCG